CCCUUAGACGUUCUGGGCCGCACGCGCGCUACACUGACCAGUGCAACAAGCAUCCGUCCUUGGCCGACAGGCUCGGGCAAUCUUUGAACGCUGGUCGUGAUGGGGAUAGACUUUUGCAAUUUUUGGUCUUCAACGAGGAAUUCCUAGUAACCGCAAGUCAUCAACUUGCAUUGAUUACGUCCCUGCCCUUUGUACACACCGCCCGUCGCACCUACCGAUUGAAUGGUCCGGUGAAGCCUCCGGAUUGGCGCGCACCUCGGUGCCGCCGAGAAGUUGGCUAAACCUUACCAUUUAGAGGAAGGUGAAGUCGUAACA
rnacentral:rRNA from 1 species